rnacentral:rRNA from 2 species
GGGACACGUGGUAUCCUGUCUGAAUAUGGGGGGACCAUCCUCCAAGGCUAAAUACUCCUGACUGACCGAUAGUGAACCAGUACCGUGAGGGAAAGGCGAAAAGAACCCCGGCGAGGGGAGUGAAAAAGAACCUGAAACCGUGUACGUACAAGCAGUGGGAGCACAGGUUUACCUGUGUGACUGCGUACCUUUUGUAUAAUGGGUCAGCGACUUAUAUUCUGUAGCAAGGUUAACCGUAUAGGGGAGCCGGAGGGAAACCGAGUCUUAAUUGGGCGUUAAGUUGCAGGGUAUAGACCCGAAACCCGGUGAUCUAGCCAUGGGCAGGUUGAAGGUUGGGUAACACUAACUGGAGGACCGAACCGACUAAUGUUGAAAAAUUAGCGGAUGACCUGUGGCUGGGGGUGAAAGGCCAAUCAAACCGGGAGAUAGCUGGUUCUCCCCGAAAGCUAUUUAGGUAGCGCCUCGUGAAUUCAUCUCCGGGGGUAGAGCACUGUUUCGGCUAGGGGGCCAUCCCGGCUUACCAACCCGAUGCAAACUGCGAAUACCGGAGAAUGUUAUCACGGGAGACACACGGCGGGUGCUAACGUCCGUCGUGAAGAGGGAAACAACCCAGACCGCCAGCUAAGGUCCCAAAGUCAUGGUUAAGUGGGAAACGAUGUGGGAAGGCCCAGACAGCCAGGAUGUUGGCUUAGAAGCAGCCAUCAUUUAAAGAAAGCGUAAUAGCUCACUGGUCGAGUCGGCCUGCGCGGAAGAUGUAACGGGGCUAAACCAUGCACCGAAGCUGCGGCAGCGACACUGUGUGUUGUUGGGUAGGGGAGCGUUCUGUAAGCCUGUGAAGGUGUGUCGUGAGGCAUGCUGGAGGUAUCAGAAGUGCGAAUGCUGACAUAAGUAACGAUAAAGCGGGUGAAAAGCCCGCUCGCCGGAAGACCAAGGGUUCCUGUCCAACGUUAAUCGGGGCAGGGUGAGUCGACCCCUAAGGCGAGGCCGAAAGGCGUAGUCGAUGGGAAACGGGUUAAUAUUCCCGUACUUGGUGUUACUGCGAAGGGGGGACGGAGAAGGCUAUGUUGGCCGGGCGACGGUUGUCCCGGUUUAAGCGUGUAGGUGUGUGUUCCAGGUAAAUCCGGUUCACUUUAACACUGAGGCGUGACGACGAGGCACUACGGUGCUGAAGCAACAAAUGCCCUGCUUCCAGGAAAAGCCUCUAAGCAUCAGGUAACAUCAAAUCGUACCCCAAACCGACACAGGUGGUCAGGUAGAGAAUACCAAGGCGCUUGAGAGAACUCGGGUGAAGGAACUAGGCAAAAUGGUGCCGUAACUUCGGGAGAAGGCACGCUGACACGUAGGUGAAGUGAUUUACUCAUGGAGCUGAAGUCAGUCGAAGAUACCAGCUGGCUGCAACUGUUUAUUAAAAACACAGCACUGUGCAAACACGAAAGUGGACGUAUACGGUGUGACGCCUGCCCGGUGCCGGAAGGUUAAUUGAUGGGGUCAGCGCAAGCGAAGCUCCUGAUCGAAGCCCCGGUAAACGGCGGCCGUAACUAUAACGGUCCUAAGGUAGCGAAAUUCCUUGUCGGGUAAGUUCCGACCUGCACGAAUGGCGUAAUGAUGGCCAGGCUGUCUCCACCCGAGACUCAGUGAAAUUGAACUCGCUGUGAAGAUGCAGUGUACCCGCGGCAAGACGGAAAGACCCCGUGAACCUUUACUAUAGCUUGACACUGAACAUUGAGCCUUGAUGUGUAG